CUGUAGGAUUAGCCAUUCAACAGAAGCUUGAUACAGCAGUUACUUUGCGCCCAGCACAGAGGGUCAGAGUCAACCAAACUGCAGCAAGGUCACAGGAAGGAGAUACAGAAGUGAAUGUUUUUGUUUUCAUUGACAAGAUCUGGAAAAUCCUGAUCAUAAGAGUGGCGAUGAUAACACCGCUCUUCGAGAAACUGCAGCAAAGGUUAAAGAGAGUGAUUUAAAUGGCACACAUAUGAAGCAAGGCACCUAGAAGGUGCUCAGCAGGUGUGUUAUUGGACUGACAUUCCUGAGAAGUCACCCAGUCCUCUACGAAUAGCUGCCCCUGCUCAGAUACAAGGAAGAGAUGUGUUGGCAGGAGGACAGAUCCAGCUGGCUCUCAGAACUCAGUGCCGCAUCAGAACUGUCAGAGUCCCUUCACCAAUCCCAGUACUGCUGGUGCCGCUCAUUUCUGGACACUGUGGGUGCCACGGGAUCUGUAGUAACCAGUCAGCAGCAAUCAUCCUUCUAGAAGCUUCCAGUGUUUUCUGUCUAGACUAGAAUUAAGAUCUCAGAACACAGCCCUGGGGCCUCAGUGUGGGGCUUGGCUCCAGACCCGCUUGAUUCUGCCCAGCUGUGGGAUCCAUUGCCCUCAUUUCCGAGCAUGUGCUCCCUCCCACCAAGAGACUGGAAUUCUGGAAAGUGAGCCAAACAUGCACAUGUUUUUCCACUUCCACGGUGAAAGUUCGGGACUCACUGUCCGAUGGUCCUCCUGGGUGUCCAGGACUCCUCAACCCUGCCCAGUCACGGGCACAUCUCCAUCUUCAUGUCCUUGCCUCCCCUUCCACUUCUCUUGCAUCCACUGAAAUCCUAGGCAGCUCUUAAAAUGCAGGCUCUGAAAUUAGAAAACCC
rnacentral:lncRNA from 1 species